rnacentral:rRNA from 1 species
GAUGAACGCUGGCGGCGUGCCUAAUACAUGCAAGUCGAGCGAACGGACGAGAAGCUUGCUUCUCUGAUGUUAGCGGCGGACGGGUGAGUAACACGUGGAUAACCUACCUAUAAGACUGGGAUAACUUCGGGAAACCGGAGCUAAUACCGGAUAAUAUUUUGAACCGCAUGGUUCAAAAGUGAAAGACGGUCUUGCUGUCACUUAUAGAUGGAUCCGCGCUGCAUUAGCUAGUUGGUAAGGUAACGGCUUACCAAGGCAACGAUGCAUAGCCGACCUGAGAGGGGGAGGGGGCACAAGUGAACUGAGACAGGGAACAGACUAAGAAGGGAGGAAGCAGUAGGGAAUGUUAUGGAAUGGGAGAAAGAAUGAAGGAGAAAAGUAGAGGGAGGGAGGAAGGUAUUAGGAGCGGGAAAAGAUGUGAUUAGGGAAGAAAAGAGGGGGAAGUAACGGGGCCGAGCGGGAAGGGAGGGAAGAAGAAAGAAAAGGAGAAUGAAGGG